rnacentral:rRNA from 1 species
GUGGGGAAUCUUGCGCAAUGGGCGAAAGCCUGACGCAGCCAUGCCGCGUGAAUGAUGAAGGUCUUAGGAUUGUAAAAUUCUUUCACCGGGGACGAUAAUGACGGUACCCGGAGAAGAAGCUCCGGCUAACUUCGUGCCAGCAGCCGCGGUAAUACGAAGGGGGCUAGCGUUGCUCGGAAUUACUGGGCGUAAAGGGCGCGUAGGCGGACAGCUUAGUCAGAGGUGAAAGCCCAGGGCUCAACCUUGGAAUUGCCUUUGAUACUGGCUGUCUUGAGUUUGGGAGAGGUGAGUGGAACUCCGAGUGUAGAGGUGAAAUUCGUAGAUAUUCGGAAGAACACCGGAGGCGAAGGCGGCUUACUGGACAAUAACUGACGUUGAGGCUCGAAAGCGUGGGAAGCAAACAGGAUUAGAAACCCCGGUAGUCC